GAUGAACGCUGGCGGUAUGCUUAACACAUGCAAGUCGAACGGACUCUUCGGAGUUAGUGGCGGACGGGUGAGUAACGCGUGAGAAUCUGGCUUCUGGUUCGGGAUAACAGUGGGAAACGACUGCUAAUACCGGAUGUGCCUGCGGGUAAAAGGCUUGCUGCCAGAAGAUGAGCUCGCGUCUGAUUAGCUAGUUGGUGGGGUAAGAGCCUACCAAGGCGACGAUCAGUAGCUGGUCUGAGAGGAUGAUCAGCCACACUGGGACUGAGACACGGCCCAGACUCCUACGGGAGGCAGCAGUGGGGAAUUUUCCGCAAUGGGCGAAAGCCUGACGGAGCAAUACCGCGUGAGGGAAGAAGGCUCUUGGGUUGUAAACCUCUUUUCUCAGGGAAUAAGAAAGUGAAGGUACCUGAGGAAUCAGCAUCGGCUAACUCCGUGCCAGCAGCCGCGGUAAUACGGAGGAUGCAAGCGUUAUCCGGAAUGAUUGGGCGUAAAGCGUCCGCAGGUGGUUAUUCAAGUCUGCCGUUAAAGAGUCUGGCUUAACCAGAUAAAGGCGGUGGAAACUGAAAGACUAGAGUGCGGUAGGGGCAGAGGGAAUUCCCAGUGUAGCGGUGAAAUGCGUAGAGAUUGGGAAGAACACCGGUGGCGAAAGCGCUCUGCUAGGCCGCAACUGACACUCAGG
rnacentral:rRNA from 1 species